AGCGAACGUUAGCGGCGCGCCUAACACAUGCGAGUCGCACGGAGUAGCAAUACUCAGUGGCGCACGGGUGCGUAACACGUAGAUAACCUGCCCUUAAGAGGGGGAUAACGUUCCGAAAGGAGCGCUAAUACCGCAUAAUGCCAGUAAUGGAGAAAGGCUGGGACCAGCAAUGGCCAGUCGCUUUUGAAGGGGUCUGCGGCCCAUCAGCUAGUUGGUAAGGUAAUGGCUUACCAAGGCAAAGACGGGUAGCUGGUCUGAGAGGAUGAUCAGCCACACUGGUACUGGAACACGGACCAGACUCCUACGGGAGGCAGCAGUGGGGAAUCUUGGUCAAUGGGCGCAAGCCUGAACCAGCGACGCCGCGUGAGUGAUGAAGGCCUUCGGGUUGUAAAGCUCUGUGGGGAGGGACGAAAGACUGAGGUCUAAUAGGCUUCAGGUUGACGGUACCUCCUUAGCAAGCACCGGCUAACUCUGUGCCAGCAGCCGCGGUAACAC
rnacentral:rRNA from 1 species